AUGCCCGAUGCCCGAUGCAAACGUGGAGAGAGAGAGAGAGAGAGAGAGAGAGAGAGAGAGAGAGAGAGAGAGAGAGGAUUUGGUUCUCGAAGAGAAUCUUCAAGUUGCUGGUGUACGUCAAAACCAUUUCCAUGGUGUACGCUCGUUUUAUCUAGAACACCUCCUCUCUGGGGUUGCAACUCAUGCACAGUGUUAUCACCUUGUAGCAGUGGGAAGCCUUUGUUGUAAGGCGGAACAGCAAUUUCAAGAGGAUCUAGGAACUCAAGCUUAUCGUCUACUUUUCUCUUAAAGGUGACAAAAAGAUUCACAGAACUGUCAGACUUUAGAAGAGACUUGAACAUUCUGAAAGACCAAUCAUCCUUGAUUUCCGUCGGAGGUGUUUCCUGACCGUUGAGCCUCACCAAAACGUCGUCAGCCCAGAACGACAUCUCAACAAAGACGUCGUGACCAACCAUGGAGAAUCUUCGCCGGAGAACUUGUUCAAGUGAUUUGAAAGUCUGAAUUUUUUCGCAGUUAAUAGCCUUUCCUGGCCUAGUUUUAUCAACCUUGAAAUCCCACCAACCAUUGGAGUAGCAAAUCCACCGGCCGACCAUGGAGACGCAGGAUUCAUCGUCCCCUGAAAAAACGAAAACAGAGUCAUCGUCUCCAUCGUUAUUUGUUGGUCGUACACUCAAUUUCAUAAACUGUAAAGCUUCUUAUGAUAACUCAUACCUUCCAUCUCGACAGAUUUUGACAAUGUGUGUAUGAUUUUUGAAGUGACGAGGGUUUAUCUUCUUUUGACAAUGACGACUUCAGAGAAGAUGUCGACGACGAGAGAAGUUUAUGUUCAACGAGGGUUUAGGAGAUAAGUUUAUGUUGAAUUUUGAAUGAUAUUGGGCUGGUUUGAAUUUGGCCCAUUAGUUUUCAUCAAAACACAAGAGGGGUAAAACGGUCUUUGACUAUUAGCUGUAUUAGAGGAGGGCUGUAUUAGAGAGGACAGAAGAAACUACCCUAUCAACCUAUUUUUAAAAAAACUGUCUACUUCUCAAAUUAUUUCCCUAAAAACUGCCUAGUUCUCAACUUAUCUCAUGAAUAUAAUACUUCUCAGUCUCAUGAGCAAGCACAUGUCCUCUCUCUCUCUUUCACAAGUUUUUCUCUACUCAUUU
rnacentral:sRNA from 1 species